rnacentral:rRNA from 1 species
UACAGGGGGUGCAAACGUUGCUCGGAAUCAUUGGGCGUAAAGCGCACGUAGGCGGUUCGUUAUGUCGGAUGUGAAAGCCCUUGGCUUAACCGAGGAAGUGCAUCCGAAACUGGCGAGCUAGAGUACGAAAGAGGAUCGCGGAAUUCCCGGUGUAGAGGUGAAAUUCGUAGAUAUCGGGAGGAACACCGGUGGCGAAGGCGGCGAUCUGGGUCGAUACUGACGCUGAUGCGCGAAAGCUAGGGGAGCAAACAGG